CACGACAUUUUUUCUUUUCUUUUCCCUUCUCUCCCCUCUUUCUAAUGUUACAGUCUCAUCCUAAUCGACGGAGUUCCAUCACAGUGAGGAAAAACCCUAACCCCACCCAAAAUCAAAUCGAUUGAUUUUUCUUCUUUCUAAAACUCGAAGUCGAAUCAUUUUUCUCCUCUCAAAAUCACAGUAUUGUUUCCUUGUACCUAGGAGAAGAAGAAGAUUCUAAUGGAGGUGGUGUUGAUGAGAUAAUGAUGGAUGUGUUGGUGCCUGAGGUGAAGAAGAGGAGAAGAAAACAGAAAAAGAAGGAUAAAUCAAAAGGAAACUAACAGUGAUCAAGAACUAGAAGGAGGCAAGUUUGCUGUUUGAAGCAACAGUGGCGCUAAAGCUCGUAAGUGUGGAAGAGAUCUGGAAAUGAAUAUCUGAAAUUGAUGGCCGAAAUGAUGAGUCGGUGUAUUCCCUAACUCGUUGUCGUGUUCUGGUCGUGUUGCACCGGUUUAUGAGCGGAGGGACGCAGGGAAGGUAAUGGUGGCAGUUCCAAAAAUUCUGUCAGCAAACGAAUCCCUUGUUGUUUUUCCUCCUAAAGCUCUUCGUUAUUGUUGUCUGGUCUGACUUUACCUUGUCGACUCAUGAAAGAAGCUAGACUAGGUUGCCCUUCACUAUGCUAGCUCAAACAGUUCAGUGACAGGUAUAUUUCAAGAUAUACUGAAAACACACAAGAGGCCCAUCAACUUACUCCUUCAUGGUACAGUUGUUUGAACCUUAAUUCACAAGAUUUGAAAUCAGUGGUAGCUCAAAGUAGACUUGAUGCUUUCUCUGAACUGGAACCAUUGUUUUCAUUUUAGUACAAUUUUUUUUCAUCUAGAAAUUGAACAUGUAUGUAUAUCUGAAGAUUCAUCUUGUACUUUUUAGCAUUUUUCUAGUUGCAGAGCUUGCUUGAGAAUGUGUUGGC